GCCGCGGUAGCUCAAUUGGUAAAGCAUCGCACGCGCAAUGCGAAUGUUGUGGGUUCCGUUCCCACCUGCGGCA